rnacentral:rRNA from 1 species
AACAGGAUUAGAUACCCUGGUAGUCCACGCCGUAAACGAUGUCGACUUGGAGGUUGUUCCCUUGAGGAGUGGCUUCCGGAGCUAACGCGUUAAGUCGACCGCCUGGGGAGUACGGCCGCAAGGUUAAAACUCAAAUGAAUUGACGGGGGCCCGCACAAGCGGUGGAGCAUGUGGUUUAAUUCGAUGCAACGCGAAGAACCUUACCUACUCUUGACAUCCAGAGAACUUAGCAGAGAUGCUUUGGUGCCUUCGGGAACUCUGAGACAGGUGCUGCAUGGCUGUCGUCAGCCCGUGUUGUGAAAUGUUGGGUUAAGUCCCGCAACGAGCGCAACCCUUAUCCUUUGUUGCCAGCGGUUCGGCCGGGAACUCAAAGGAGACUGCCAGUGAUAAACUGGAGGAAGGUGGGGAUGACGUCAAGUCAUCAUGGCCCUUACGAGUAGGGCUACACACGUGCUAUAAUGGCGCAUACAAAGAGAAGCGACCUCGCGAGAGCAAGCGGACCUCAUAAAGUGCGUCGUAGUCCGGAUCGGAGUCUGCAACUCGACUCCGUGAAGUCGGAAUCGCUAGUAAUCGUAGAUCAGAAUGCUACGGUGAAUACGUUCCCGGGCCUUGUACACACCGCCCGUCACACCAUGGGAGUGGGUUGCAAAAGAAGUAGGUAGCUUAACCUUCGGGAGGGCGCUUACCACUUUGUGAUUCAUGACUGGGGUGAAGUCGUAACAAGGUAACC